CAUAUAAUUCAAAAGAAGAUGGACAAAUGAGAACCUUUCUGUCAUAAACUCUAGUAAAACUGCUUGUCAAAAGCUGUGAACAGAUUGCAUACAGGAAUAGAAAAAAGAGCACUCUUAAAUUAUCAGCUGUUAGUCAGUGCCCGCUCUCAUUUUUCCUGGCCAUUGCGCUUUUGCUGUGUGCUGUGUAAAUGCAGAUGAUCGGAUACGAGUCACUUUUAAAAGAUGGUGUAAGCAGGUCAUCAAAGAAAUCGGACACAGUCACAAAAUCGAAAUUGACCAUUAAGAUCUGCAUUGUAAAUGCAGCCAAAGAGUCAGUCGCUCGGACUAAACGAUCCGGUAGCAACGCGUUAACGUGUUUGUAGCAUACGUUUUGGCCCCAACAGCCUUCCAUAGUUCCACGUGUUUGAGGCACUGCCGUUGAAUUAUAUUUUUUUGGUGCUACUGAACCGAGCAUGAUACGACUGAGAACAUGAAACUGCUUCUUGGUUCCCUGUCCGUUGUCUUGAAUCAAUUUCGGUUUAAUUGUACAUGAAAAGAUGUUUACGAACCACCCAAAAGACUAUCUAACGUAAACAAACACAUCAGUACUCGAGCUCACAACAGAGUCAACGUUAUGUUCCCAUGUGAAAGCAGGAGAGGCAUUGAUAAAAGAUGCAUUAAACAUCUAAGUAAAAAACAAAACAAGACAAUGAGCUUUUCCCAGGAUCAUUGAGGCAACUUCAGCUAUAGAUAACAUUUGCCAUUCAUGGGAGUAGAGGAAUGAGAGGCGAUGGGACUUAGGAAACAAAGAGGAUUGUAUGGCUGGACUGUGAAUGGAGGAGAAACGCAUGCAUGGAGCAGCAAUGGAGGAGAGACUACAGUGUAAGGUGUGUGACAUUGACCUCUGGGCUUUUGAACCUGUGACCUGCCACAAUCCCGAAGCUCAUUCAAUAGCACUAAGUGAUCAGCACCUCCAAGACAAAGACUCCAGCUGCCUGGUGUUGAAAUAUGCAUUAGGCUCCCUCAAUCUCAUCCCGGCCCGGUGUUGACAUUCUCUGCCUGGUAUUGUUAAAGAAGACCCAGCCGCUCAUAUGUGACGAAGUGUAGCGCUGUCUGGGAGAAGUUCAGGAGAGGGAAGCUGUAAACAGAUCUCCAUGGGCUCCUCUGUGACCCCCGGCUCCUCACAGUGCGUUUGUUCUGGCACUUUACAAUGCUCUGGGUUUAUGGGGCCUGUGACCUGUGGACGUCCACAAGAUAAAUCCACACAGACUCUCUGGUGGCCGACCACACUAGUGUUAUUAGCGCUGGUAAUAUUUUACAGUGCUAUUUGUUAAUGCAUUGGUUACACUUUACAUUAUUAAGGUUUUAUUUGUUCACAUAUUUUUUUUACUAACAUGA